CCUGGCAACACUGGAACGCAGGAGAGCAGGUGUUGCGUCUGUUUGUGACACCACCCCCAACAUCUGUGACACCGUACUUAAUUGUUCGGUGUGUAGUAAUGAUGAUAAAUACAAACAUGAAGGUUUUCUUUUCUAUUUUUGCCACUGAAUCUUAAGUUCUAGCAGGGCUGACUGGUGCAAAACGAACUGACCAACUGUGAAAAAUAAUCCACCCUCCCAGACUAGAAUUCACACCAUCCACUCCUGCUAUUACCAUUGCAAUACCUCUUCUUACUUAGAAGAGGCUGCAAACAGAGCUAGUGCUCAGCUCAGGAGCAAAGAGAGAAGGUUUUAUCAGAUAGAAGUCCAUGCCAGCCAUAUGGAAAACCUAUUUCUGCACUGUGUUACAAUGGUGGCUGAUAUAAACAGAUGAAAUGAGGCCAAGAUCUUUUAAAAGGUUUGGACCUGUUUAUUAAAAAUCAAGACAACUGAAGACAAGACCUCAGGAAGUACCAGAUCAAUCACUAACACUACCAGUCAUAUGCUGUUGUGAACAUCAGCCAGUGUUCCUGAGCAUCUUUGGCUCUCUGUAGUGAUGGCACACUGAGCCCCUCCCAGACACUGGGCAUGAAGCAGCAGGCGUCUCCCAGCUCCCAUUAACCUGCAAACACUGCUGAAGGGCAUCAGCUGAGACAAAAGGAGGCCCACCUGCACUUCUGCAUUGCCCUGCUUGACAGGCCCGGGCUGGGCUGAGAACUGCUCUGACCACAGAGCCAGCAGGAAGUCUCAGGCACAAAGGGACACAGGAAGCAGAAUAGCAACUCUACAGGAGCUGUUUCUGGCAGAUUGGGCUUGAGUUGUGCCAGGGUGAAAAAUCAGAGCAAUGAUUUGUGGAACGAGCUGCAUUGCCGAGUGCUACCAAAGCCCAAGAGCUUGUCAGACAGAAUAUUUCACCUCUGUGGAUCAAAGUAAAAAAGCCUUGACUCAUCAGUAGCCUCAGGGAAUAAAUCUGAAUUGAGCACAUGAAACGCACAGCAUCAACUCAAUACGUGGGAAGAGGAAGCAAGACAAAAUAGAGACAAAAGGAGAGAGAGAUAUACGAAGCAAAAUAAAGCAGUCACAGCAACAUGUGAAAAAAAGGGGGUCAGGAGAGAAGCAAAGAGGCCUUGAGACACACAAGAGGAGAGACAGGACCCAAGGACCUUGGGCUCACCUCAGCUGUGAUUCUUGGAUGAUUCUUGGCACUGCCAGGAAAAUUUACCAGUUUGGAUGCAUCUUUCCCCUUCUCACCCAGAGAGGCAGGCUUUCACUUGCCUGCAGAGAGAUGCGCCGGAUGGCUUCCAAUUUUUAUUUCCUUGCCUUUUUUAUGGCCUCUUCAGUCUCUGCCACAGCAGCACCUCUCUGAGCCAGUAAGUACUCAUCCUGUCCCUCUUCAACCUAUGCCCUGGAGGGAGUAAAGCCAGUACUACCAUUGGAAAUUAUAUACAGUUUCAAUCUUUUAUGUAAAAUGUUUUAAUUUUAAUGU